ensembl:lncRNA
UUUUUUUUUUAUUUUAAUGCUAUCAGCCUCUCUGUCAAAAGCUAUCCAGUGUCUCUUAAACUGUACCAUCUAAAACUAGUAGCCAGGACACUACAGAGGGCGGUUAUAGGACAACCAGCAAUUUGCUUCAGGGUUCACACAACUCCUCCCCUGCCAUUCUCCCAUAAGCACAAGACAACAGAAUCAUCACACUGACCAGGAAACAGCAAAUUUAAAUGCACAACAGCGAUUAGUUCCUACAAAGUAGAAACAACAUUCUGGCACACAUCCAACAGUCAGUGAAUAUUAUGGGUUUGACCAGUGUAGCUCAUCUUCUCUUACUCAAGGAAGCUUACUCUAGAUUACAGACUUCUCAGUGUUUGGUUCCUCUGUCAGCAUCAAGCUUGGUUUAUGGUAAGGAGACUCACUGGAAGGCUGAACUGUCUCUCCAAUGCACCAAAAAGAAAAAAGCAAAAUAGCAAGCCUGGUGGAAAAAAUACCUCAAGUAAACUUUUAGAAAUAACACUUACGUGAGUCAAGAAAUGGUAGAGCUGCUGGGAGUCUCACAGAUAAAUGCACUGUAAUUAGGGAAAUGUCUGUACUCAGCUGCUGAGCAGAGAGUUCUUGUCAGCUGCAAUGAAAACAUUCCCUCUCAGAGGCAGGAGGACAGUUAGCUCCCUCCACAGCUGCACUUGCUUAGAAUCUGUCUCCUUACCUUAUGCCGUUCAGUUUGCUGAUCGCCAGAAGACCGCAUCUGUACCGUAACUGUUUGUCUUUGGUCAGUUCAGGCCACAUAAAUAACAGCAAGAGCUUUAGGGCACCUGUUUUACAUCUACAGUUCUGGAGCAUAGUGUCAAACAUAUUUCCAUACUGCAUCUUAUUUCAGAUUUACUUCAUUAUUUUCAGCAGAAGAUUCACCCCCACUGCAGUAGCUAGCAGCAGGUUUACCGCUCCCCCAAAUUCCACUUGACAUUACAAACAUAACUGAGAUAAGUGUACAAAACUAAUAAAUAAAAAGUGUUUAGUGAUAGUACCUCUGCUAGGCAGUAGAGCAAAGCACCUAGUAUCAUUCCCACAUGUCAUCUGCAUCAUGUCACAGAGUUAAGAGGUGAAGGAUUAUUCUAUCUGAACUUACCUUUAAGGAAAGGAGUAUCUGGUUGUGGUAGCACAGAAACCAGGCAACAGUUCUUCUCUACUUGCUCACAGCAAGUGGGUCACAAGGGCACUAUGGAAAUGCAGCAGGCAGUGGCAUCCUACCCAACACCACUGUUGACCCAUUUGAGCUGCUUCUAAUUAGAGACGCUCCCAAACUACACUGUGCCCUCAGCAUCACCGCCAUUAAAAAGGGGAGGGAAUCAGCCAGGCUGAACACCAGAGUUGUGCACCUACAUUUACUUCUGUUUCAUGAAAUGGAGACACCAACCAACGUAACUGUACUGACUCUACCUUUCUCUGAACAGACAGUUAAUAAGAGGAAUACAAGGCUGAGCUCUAACAGUUCCUGGUUUUGAGUAUUUUUUGUAGAACCAGUCACUGGCUAAACUGAUUAUUUUAAAGCUAUGAAAAAUGGGAUGUGAUACAUUAAUCUGAAAAGUUAGUAAAAUAUAUUUAUUAUAUUAAAAUGCACUUUAAAAGCUACUGGCCUUUAAAGCAGAUCUUUACUUGCCCUUUGUGCACACACAGCCAUAGAGUGCUGGCAUCUCCCCUGAAUUUGGGAGAGGCGAACACUGAGCCAUUUCUUUGGCUUCCUGAAAGAAUCACAGCACUGUCUUUGUAAUCACAACGCUACCCUGUUUGUUGGGUUUCAGGCAAAAGGAAAUAAAAGCUUUCGAAGUUACACCUCAAAAGAUACUUAUUUUAGGUACCUCUCCCUCUAUCCCCCUUUCUCACAAUUAUUUUGUUUAGAUGAGCGUAAUGGAAGUAUAAGCAAUUAAGGGAGAAACUUUUGUUUUGUUUGAAAGAUACAGAGUAGUUUUUCCUCUUAGUCUACAACUGUCCUUUUUAUGGGGCUUGGGUGUUGAACAGGCUGUGUGUUUGGGUUUAUGCCGUCAUACAGUGGGAAAACACGUACAGCUUUCUACCUUAAGAGUUAAGAACAUUUGCCAAAAAGAAAAGCAGAGUUCCUUCACAAUUAGUGUGCAGUUUUACUUCAUCUGUUCAACACAAAUCAAGUAGGAAAAUCUAGUGAGACAGCAGCACUGUUACUUGCACCCACAUACCCAUUCUGUACUGUCACUACUACUACUUUCCAGGCAAUACUCAACAUGCUACAUGAAAUUCUACGC